UGCUUAAUGAAGGCACAAGUAUAAAGAUGGUGUGUACUUCAUGGAUAUUGUUUCAAGAUCCUUAUUCUUUUUUUAGAAGGAACUAUUUUUUUGUGGUUUAUUGCUGUGUAAUGUUUAGUGUUAAUUUGAAGUGUGAUAUGAAUUGAAUUUUCAGGCAAAGUGAAUAUAUGUAAUGGCCCUAAACUGGCCAGUCCAGAUUUUUGUUUCAACCAUCCAACUUAUUUGAACCAAUUAGUAGUUAAUAAUUAUAAGCAUUAUUAAACCAUUAGGGGUUACAUAUUUCUAUGAGUCACAUUUAGAAUCCCUUAUACAUAACUGUGCAUUCUUAACUUUUUUUUUCCUUUUCUAGAACUUGUCAAAAAAAAAAAUCAGAAUUUGAAGGAUGAUCGUCCUCUAAUCCGGUCUGUUCCAGUGCCAGACUCUGGCAUUUCAGAUGAGCUUUUAAAGGCAUUACAGAAAAGGAGAGCUGCUAUUGGAGAUUAUUAACAACAAGUAAUGUAUCUGGAUGUAUCAAGCUUGAUGGAAAUCUACACUAAACAAUAUCACGCUCCAAACCCAGCAAUUAGUGAGAAGUGUCAUGGUCAGAGCAGAACCUGUGUACUGCAGUACAUAACGCCCUUUUUACUAAAUGAACUUCUGAGAAUCUGAAUAGUAAUAUAUAUGAAAUAAGGUAUGUCAUGUCUACUGAAAUACACUAAAUGGUUCAAUGAUCAUACUCUUUGCUAAAUUAUCUUUAAUUGCAAUGCAUUGUUUGAGUAAAACUGGCCUGAACAAUUUGAAGAACUGUACCAAUACAGGUGCAGUGCAGUAAUUCAUAUUUUUCCAGUUUGCAGAUGAUUUAAAUUAUACAACUUUAAAUAAUAUUAUGGGAAAUGUAUUUGAGAAAAAUGCUGUUAAAUAUUUAUAAAUUAAAUAACAUUUACUUGUGUGAUUUAUGGCAAAUCAUUUGCUUUUGUAUAUCAUUCUGUUUUCACAUUAUAAACAAGUAAAAUCUAGUUACAGUAUAAUCCAGGGCUUCCCAAACCAGGUCUUGGGGACCCCCUGUGUCUUCUGGUUUUCAUUCCAACUGAGGUCACAGUGACUUCA